rnacentral:miRNA from 1 species
AGCCCGGGCCCCUCCCCUG